rnacentral:rRNA from 1 species
UACGAAGGGGGCUAGCGUUGCUCGGAAUCACUGGGCGUAAAGGGUGCGUAGGCGGGUCUUUAAGUCAGAGGUGAAAUCCUGGAGCUCAACUCCAGAACUGCCUUUGAUACUGAGGAUCUUGAGUAUGGGAGAGGUGAGUGGAACUGCGAGUGUAGAGGUGAAAUUCGUAGAUAUCGUAAGGAAGACCAGUGGCGAAGGCGGGUCUCUGGACAGUUCCUGACGCUGAGGCACGAAGGUCAGGGAGCAAACGGG